UGUUUCCCCCUUGUAUUUAGUUCUCCACACCAAGCCCUGUGAAGCCCUCGUCUGCUUCCCCCCCAUCCUGGAUUUCCCCCUCUUGGACUCUGUUUUGCUCCGAUCUGUUCAUGGAUAUUCCCCAGCCUUCUGUCUGCCAGUUUUCUUCCCCCCACUAACUUCUGGAUUCCCUGAGCCUGCCUGCUUUGCCCCCUUAGUUCUCUUUCCCCUGGUUUUGUACAAGGCGCUGCAUGCUGAGGAGGAAACAGCUGCAGCGAACCACAGUGUUGACCGAACAGAGCAGAACAGGACGUAUAGCUGGGCUAUUUGUGUCCCAUCCUGUCAACGCAAUCUUCAAAGUCCAACACGGGUCUCCUGAGGUUUUCCAUGACGGCACUUUUAUU